AAAACCUAACACUUCUUAUUUUUUCUAACAUCUUCAACCAGCAUCGUGUACAUCUAGCACGUGACUUUCUCGGGAUGGGUCGGGUACCUUUAAAGUUAAUUGUAGACCAGGUCACUUAGUCUGUGAACAUCAACAGCAUGGAAUAUUUUCAGUGCACAAGGGUGAACUCUUUCACAGCACUGAGCAGCUUUUCCAGUCCGCAGAUUUCUGGUCCAUUCUGUACGAUUGGCAACAUUUAAAAGUCUGAAGAACACAUCAAGGAAUGAUGCUGUAAGUGCGUAGCCUUGACAUCAGGCUGAACAAAGAAUUUUUCAUUUACUUGAGUGAGGGCAACCAUAUUUCUUCAAGCGCACUGUGUUGUCUAGACUCCAGUGCAAUAACAGAUUAUGUCUUCCAUAAUCAAAUUCCCGUUUUCUUUUGUUGAAGUCUUAAAUUCUCCAAGCAGAUACUAAUACAGCUUCAUUUUUCGUCUUUUUCCUGUUGAAAUAUCUCUGGUAUUUUGUAGAAGCGCGGAAGUAUCAUCGAUACUUCACUCAAAAAAAAAACAACAAAAACCGCGAAGUAGUGAAUCCGCGAUAUAUGAACCGCGAAGUAGCGAGGGAACACUGUAACUGGGUAAACCUACGGGGCAAAUACGGAUAGAAAGUGCUCGUUUGUCAAGAUGAUUAGUUAGACCUUCACUUCUUUCUCAUCUUCUCUAGAUAUUACGACUUGCGAGAGAGGUAAAAUCACCGCAAAAUAUUAUGUCUUCACUGUUCAGAUUCAAACUUAUGCUGUUGCUGUCAGACACUACAAUACUAUGUCUGGCAGGCUGACUGACACAUCCCCUCCCAGACUUGUGCCUGGGGCAACACACUGCUAGCAGGAACACUGAGUCACAACGUGAGACAGCCGUAGACAGAACGUAGCUCCGAGCACAGACUUUGUCCUUAGUCAACCGGUUGGCGAUGACUCGUCGCGCCCUUCUCUCAAGCUGCUCUCUCUUUUUCUUCUCCCCUCAACCUCUUGUCCUCCCUUUGUAUAUCUCCCGGUAGGGGUAAUGUGCCAUGUUUCCAGGAUGUCCUAUAAACACAGAUGGGACAACACAGACAGCGGUUCACGUGCUCUAGCCCAGAUGUCAACAAAUCACUUGCAGUCCGCAGGUUGCGAGACUCACCAUGACCAGAGCUCGUGCUCACCUGUGUGCAAGCUACGAAAAGACUUCUCGCCAGGUCAAUUCUGUGCAGAGCUGCACGACUGUAAAGCAUCAAACUACACUUUCUAGCAAAGAUAACAGGUUUGGUAAACCAGCUUUUAAAACCAGGUCAGGUCAGCCCAUAAGGUUAUUCCCAUUCCUUCCUUUUCCACCAACCUCACUCCUUGCUUCCCACACCAUAUACUUCAUCAAUUAUCUUCUUUAAUCCCAGACAAAUUCUUUUUCCCUCUUGUCAUCAUUUCAUCAUUUCCAACCUCUUCCCUUCCCACAAACCUUCCAAUAGCCUCCCUAUUUUGCCCUUCUACACAUUUGCUUCACACCAAUUUCUAAACCUUCUCAACUUUUCACCUCUACCUCUCACACUUUGUUACCAUCCAACUCCCUCUCUCUCCUUCCCUUACAAAUCCAACUUUACCCCUUUCUCCACCCCUUUAUUACCUUUUCCUUUCCAUCAAACCUUUCCUAUCUCUUCCUUCCACUUACCAUCCCUUCAUUCACCUUCUCUUCCUUCUCAACCCUUACUGCCUUCCAACCUUCCCGACGAGACGGACAAGUGGUGCUCAUGGCAGUUACCGAGUGUGCAACGCUUCACCAUCAGCAUCUGUCUGGUCGCAGACACAGAGCUCGAGGCUGGUAGAUAAGCGUUGGUCCUUGUUAGGCGCUGUUCAGCUCGAGACAGCAGUGCGGCCUAUAGGACG